AACGAACGUUGGCGGCGUGGAUGAGGCAUGCAAGUCGAACGUGAAAGCCGCAAGGUGAGUAGCGUGGCGGACGGGCGAGUAACACGUAAUCAAGCUGCCUGCGAGACGGGGAUAACUUCGGGAAACCGAAGCUAAGACCCGAUGGUCUACCGAGACUGCAUGGUUUUGGUAGUAAAUGGGCGGGAUCCUUCGGGAUCGCCUGCUCGCAGAGGUGAUUGCGGCCCAUCAGCUAGUUGGUAGGGUAAUGGCCUACCAAGGCAACGACGGGUAGCCGGCCUAAGAGGGUGGUCGGCCGCACUGGGACUGAGACACUGCCCAGACUCCUACGGGAGGCUGCAGUCGAGAAUCUUCCGCAAUGGGCGAAAGCCUGACGGAGCGACGCCGCGUGGAGGACGAAGG
rnacentral:rRNA from 1 species